AUACGUACAUUGACCAAGAUCAGUAAAAAACACGUGGUUUAGCGAGUUCGGGAGAGUGGAAGCCGGACCCAAACGAUUUUUGAAGAGGCACUUGCGAGUACGAUAAAUGAAGCUGCCGAAUCUUUAUUCGGAAGUAGGGUGGAACCGCGAAAUUAUUCGUCCCUAUG
rnacentral:sRNA from 1 species